GGGAGAAGAAGGGAUGAGGAGAAUGGAGCAGCUUGGAAUCAGUUCUAAGAUUUCUCGCAGCUGACUUGUGAUCCAAUGAAACAGUUGCGAGAUCUAAGGUCAGUUUGGAUGUGGAUACGUAUUGGGUGCCCCAAAUACCUAACGAGUCCGCGGUUUAAUAGUGACGUUUGAUGCACGUCAGGGAAUGUUAUCACUUUGUGUUUC
rnacentral:lncRNA from 1 species